rnacentral:rRNA from 1 species
CCUACGGGUGGCAGCAGUGAGGAAUAUUGGUCAAUGGACGAGAGUCUGAACCAGCCAAGUAGCGUGAAGGAUGACUGCCCUAUGGGUUGUAAACUUCUUUUAUAAAGGAAUAAAACGAGGCACGUGUGCGUUUUUGCAUGUACUAUAUGAAUAAGGAUCGGCUAACUCCGUGCCAGCAGCCGCGGUAAUACGGAGGAUCCGAGCGUUAUCCGGAUUUAUUGGGUUUAAAGGGUGCGUAGGCGGAUUGUUAAGGAAGUGGUGAAAUGUCGGCGCUUAACUCGGGAAUUGCAUCUAAUACUGGUGUUCUUGAGCGUAGAUGCUGUAGGCGGAAUGUCUGGUGUAGCGGU